rnacentral:rRNA from 1 species
UACAGAGGUCUCAAGCGUUGUUCGGAUUCAUUGGGCGUAAAGGGUGUGUAGGCGGCUUUAUAAGUCGGGGGUGAAAGCCUGUGGCUCAACCACAGAAUUGCCUUCGAUACUGUAGAGCUUGAGACCGGAAGAGGUAAGUGGAACUGCGAGUGUAGAGGUGAAAUUCGUAGAUAUUCGCAAGAACACCAGUGGCGAAGGCGGCUUACUGGUCCGGUUCUGACGCUGAGGCGCGAAAGCGUGGGGAGCAAACAGG